ensembl:lncRNA
CCCACCCCUAGUAACUGUAAUCAUGCUUAUGUACAUCUGGAUAAUGACACAAACUAGUGUGUGGCGCUUCACUUUUUAAAAAAAAGACAGAAAUCAGAUUAUAGGAUAUGUGGUGUUGUUUAUUUAUAUUAUGGUACUAAUCAUUCGUGAUAUUUAUUACUGUGUGCAUACUUUAUUAGAAGAGAUGAGAUUUAAAAAAAAAUCUCUUCCUUGCUGGUUCCAUCGAACAAUAAAUGCUCAAGUAACUAUGUAACACGUACGUAAUCUGUUCAACAACACAGUGUGAUGGGAAAUCAGCUGUGUUUUGCUGCCCACUUUAUUUCGAAUCUGGCGCGAACCGGCGAGCCAGUUCCUGAAUCAGUCACAUGGUACGGACUGCCCGCGAGGCCUCGAACGUCACUGCAUACGUAAUCAAAGCGAGCCUCGAUACGCGUUUCACAAAAACUCGCCGAGAUUACCCGACACAGGUAUCGAAGCGUCGACACACAGGACACAUCACUAGUCUUUGGUCUUUUCUCCUGCACAGAACCACAAGUCCAUCGCUGGACCUCCUCUGCGCUGUCACUUUUGGAGCUUGGCACCCUCCCUUCAUCCCUCAGGUUCUCAUGUUCCAAUGCCCCGGACGAUUUAAGGCAGAGCACGUCGUACACCUUAGUUGUCUUCCUCAACUUCAACGUCAAAACUCUUCCACUCCUUAUAGUUGUCUGCUGUGCAAAGACUCCUCUUGAUGAUCUCCUAGAAGCCCAGUAGCACAGCUCUCUGCGCGAUGUCUGCUGUGCUGAAGGUGAUCUCUGAUCCUCCUGAAGCCUCUCUCCUGGCCUCAGCUUCCACGUUGUGGACGAUCCCCUCAGUCACUCCUUCUCGUCAUGGCACCUCACGACAUAUGCAAAUUAAAAAAAAUGACACUCCUCUUGUGCCACACGGCUCUCGCCAUGUGUCAACUCCCCAAUGAGACAUGUAAAAGAAUGUUUUAGGGAGACUGUGCAACAAUCUCCAGGGUUUCCCACUUGGAGCAGCUUCACUCCAACCUGUAACCCUGUGUAAAAACAUUAGUCAGUAAUUAAAUGUUUAGCUUGUUUAACUCCCAGCUCCACCCAGAGCCUGUAUCCUAGAAGACAAAGUCUUUAGGUUAAAACAACUUCACAUUUGCAACCAACUACAACUCAUAAGUGUAAUAAAGUAUUCAGCAUCACAGAGACAAGUAUCAUUGCAGGUUUAUUCUAAACUCAUUUAACUCCUACUUUUCCCAUAAUUUGCACCAAAUCAUUGAACAUCUCAACGUCAUUCCACGUUAUAAUCAAUAUGUGGAAUGACGGCUUGUAGGAGAGAGGUGGCCUGUCUGGUGUCAUGGUAUGAGGACAACAACCUCACCCUCAGCACUGAUAAGACAGAGUAACCGAGUCCCAGGCUGAGAGGCUGAGGGCACCCCACCCCCAAAGUGGCCCAAGCGAGCCCCAGGCCCC